UACAGAGGUGGCAAGCGUUGUUCGGAAUUACUGGGCGUAAAGGGCGCGUAGGCGGCCUACUAAGUCAGACGUGAAAUCCCCCGGCUUAACCUGGGAACUGCGUCUGAUACUGGAAGGCUUGAGGAUGGGAGAGGGAUGUAGAAUUCCAGGUGUAGCGGUGAAAUGCGUAGAUAUCGGGAGGAACACCUGAGGCGAAGGCGGGCUACUGGGCCGAUACUGACGCUGAGGCGCGAAAGCCAGGGGAGCAAACGGG
rnacentral:rRNA from 1 species